AACCUUGUCCCUCACCUACUCUCUCUGUAUCUCGCCCUCCUUCUCUGUUCCUCAUCUUCUUAUGCAAGUAAGAACUCCAGUUCAAUCUCUCAUCCCGAUCUCCUCUGUAUCGAUCCCUUGUGCCACUGGGUUUGUUACAAACUGGUAAUCAGAGCCUGGUUCCCUUUUCCCCCAAUUUUUUUUGCUAGAUCGUGCUCACAUCCUCUCGAUCGGAUCAUAACAUCCACCGUUGCGGGUGCCGAUUCACUCCAGUGAGUUAGCCCAAACUCCCCAGCAGGGUUGGACCGAUUUGGAGCGAGGGCGACGGCGCCGCCAUCCAAACCUUCCGCCCAGACCCACCACAUCCUAGUAGCCAUGUAAGAAACCUCGGGAGAGAUCAAAUCCUUGCUGGAGUCACUCUUGACGCGGUUCGAAAAAAGCCAGAUCACCGCUGACAAGCAUGUGGAGGCACAUCUCGCCUUCAAGAAGCAGGUCUCUAGCGACCUCACGCACCUUCGCCACGAGAUGGACUUGACGCAAGCGGACGUCGAUGAGGUGCGCUAGCAGCGCACCAACCACGACAAGCAGCAGGCGCCCGCCUCCUCUCACCAUCACCAGUUCAAGCCCAUGGAAGGCGAUCCGCAUGCGUCCUCGGCCACGCCACGACCAGAGCACCCAAGGGGCUUCGAAGUCCAUGGGCCGGUCGCUCGCCUCAUCAACGAUGGUCCACCCCUCAUGCCGCACCGCCCCGCGGUCACCAUCACCGGGGCAGGUCAGAUGCCGCCGCCAGCUUCCCCUCGCUGGAUUCCUCAAGCGCCGCCCACGGACGACUACCACGUCAAGCCCCCCAAGCACGACUUCCCUAAGUUCGACGGCACGGCACCAUAUCUUUGGAUCGAUCGCUGCGAGUCCUACUUCAAGCUGUACGGGGUGCCGCAGCACAAUUGGGUGACCACGGCCUCCCUCUACAUCGAGGGGCAUGCUGCACAUUGGCUUCAAGCUUACCGUCAGGCACACAGAGCGUUGUCAUGGGAGGCGUUCUGUGAAGCGCUCAAGGAGGAAUUUGGGCCUGACGAGUUUGAGUUAAAGAUGCACAAAUUACUGCAACUCCGUCACACAGGAACAGUGGCUGAAUACCGGCUCGCGUUUCAAGGCGCGUAUGUACCACCUGCUGGCACUCGAUGUUACGCUCAGCAACAAGUUCUUCAUCACGCAGUUCCUGCUCGGUCUGCGGGACGAUCUUCGAGCGGCGGUGCGCCUUCAAGCGCCCACGAGCAUCACGUGUGCAUCCGUUCUGGCGUGCAUCCAAGAGGAGGAGACCGACACGCAUCGACCUCGACCGUGCAUGUUCCCGGUGGGACGACCCCCAACACCACCCAUCGCGCUGCCACCACGACCGCAGGUUGUGCCGCGACCUACUGCUGCACCGGUCGCGGUCGCCGGUGGGGACGGUUAUGCGCGUGAGCGGCAGCUCCAAGAUCACCGCCGGGCACAUGGCCUGUGUUUCAAAUGUGGUGACCGAUACUCCAGGGAGCACCGUUGCAAGCAGGCCACGCAGCUGCUCACCAUACACAUGGGAGAGCACGGGGAAGUGCUCACCGAUGAAGCAAUUCAGGCCAUGGAACUGUUAGAUGAGCCAGGCGAUGCACCAACAGAGCAAGAGUGUUGCGUGCUCUCCACCCAAGCCGUCUCCGGCGUGGAGACUCCGCAUACGAUCCGCCUCCGUGCUCUCAUGGGUAAUCAGGUCAUGCUACUCCUUGUCGAUUCAGGCAGUACACACAGUUCCAUCUCCGCGUCCUUUGCCGAUCGCAUUGCUGCAACAACAACGCCCUUGUCGCCAGUGGACGUGCGCGUUGCUAAUGGUGAAUGACUGGUCUGCGACAGGCUUGUACCUGGUGUCAAAUGGUGGAUACAAGGGCACACCUUUUCUACAGACAUGCGCCAGCUCACGCUCGGUGCAUACGACGGCGUGCUGGGUAUGGACUGGAUGGAGAAAUUCAGCCCGAUGAGUCCAUUGGCGAAACAAGACUCUCACCUUUGAGCAUGAGGGUGCCACUGUUACGCUACAAGGUGUUCGCCACAAUGAUGUUAAGUCCCUGGAGGCAAUCGAACCAGAGCAGUUCAACAAGUGGCAAGCCGGCAACGAGAUCUGGUACAUGGCUCUUCUGGACAGACACCCACCCCCAGCGAGCCCGGGAACAAUUUGCCGGCCGGCAUUCAAGCAGUGCUCAGCGAGUACAAGGAUGUGUUUGGCGAACCCAAAAAAUUGCCGCCACAUCGUCAGUACGACCAUGCCAUUACACUGGUUGAGGGGGCACAACCUGCGAAUGCACGCCCCUAUCAGUACUCUCCGUUGCAAAAGGACUAAAUCAAGCGGCAAGUCAGAGAAAUGCUCGAUUCUGGUGUCAUUGAGCACAGUAUGAGUCCCUAUGCUGCUCUGGUUCUCCUAGUAAAGAAAAAGGACGGAUCAUGGCGUUUUUGUGUGGAUUAUUGAUGCCUCAAUGACAACACAGUGAAGAAUCGGUUUCCCUUACCAAUUGUGGACGAGCUGCUGGACGAGCUCGCAGGUGCUAAAUACUUCUCCAAAUUUCUUUUUGAAGUUACAGCACCAGCCUACUGCAUGCAUCUCCAAGCAUCAGGCUGCUAGUAGUUUACCUGUGCAAGUCAGGCAUCAUUGGACCCUUGUUCAGAAAUCAAGGGUUGGCAUAUAUAGCUAGUAUCAUUGGACACAUUGUCUGAAUUUUUUAACACAUUGUCUAGGCUUGUAUAGCUAGUAUUAUAGGCAGGGUGUCUUUUUAAGUGAAAGUUCUUUCUAAGUAUUUUUUUCAACUGCUUGUGUGGGCAUAUAUUGCUGUAUUAUAGGAUGCUUGAACAACGAGUCCCAAAUUUGGGAACAGGACAGACAUCUACCUCCCAGUUUUGUAUAUAUGAAAGUGAGCGAGUCCUGAAUUUGGGUACAGGCAGGGGUCCAUUAGGAACAUGGCAGUUAUUUUGCAUAAUCCUCGACCUCCUCUUUCAAUCUCUCUUUCUCCCUUUCUUCUCUGAAUUUCCCGGUGUUGUAUAAGUCUGUAAGAUUCAGAUUUUAAGAGUACUUGCUCCCUGUACUAGUUACUUCUACUACUUAUUUUUAGCUGUUUAGUACUACUCUGUAGAUCUGUGAUAGUAGUCUAGUCACUUGUAUAAUUUUGUUUAUUAGUAUAACUUGAACUAUGGAGUAGUACCCUGUUCGCAUAUGUGUGAUUAUGUGUGUUCUGUAGUCUCUGUGAUAGCUCCAGUACAUGUGAACUAUAUGUUGUGGUGUAAAUCAUUUUCAUUCUAUCUUAUAAACGUGUUUCUUCAAUAGCUAUUUCUGUUCAAGUCUUGUUUUCAUUGAUGUUAGCAUUUAGUUUGUCUCAAGUAAAAAAAUACUAAAAAUACAGUGAAGAUAAUCUGAACCUCCCUAUGUAAAAUUUAGUCUGUCUGUAAUACUACUAGAAGAUAUGGGUGAGGGACUGAAAGGAUGAUAUGCUUCCAUGAAUUUAUUUGUAAAAAGUUUUUCUUGGCUGUGUACAAAUAAGCCCAAAUAUGUGAGCCUCGGUUCUGAAAACUAAAGAGUUUAUAUAUUGGUAGAUAGACUGUGAUUUAGGAUAUGCUAAACAAGAAGCUUUAUAAGAUGGAACUAUCAAUUCAUCAUGACUUCACCUUGUCCUUUAAUUUAAUAUGGUUAGAACUACCAUGGGUUUUUAAGUAGUUGGGGCAUUAAGAAACAGUAUCCUGGAUGUUUGGCCUUGCAUCCGUCCUUCCAUGAAUUCAUGCUUGUGCAUUGCUAGUUAUUGCUUUUUUUGCAGGUCUUCUUCCUCCUCGAUCUGGUGCAGCAGCAACAAUUCAAGGUCAUGGUCAUGGAGCAACAGCCAUAUAUUUUUCUUCUUAUUCUUCCCUGAGAUGAGAUGAGGCUCUGGUGGUCGGUCUUCAAUUCUUCAUGUUGCUGUGCUGCUACAUGAGGGCCCUCUUCAAUUCUGCAUCCGUUGCGGACCCCGCAGCUUCCACCUCCAGAAGAGCACCUGCUCCUCAUGCGGUUACCUGGCCACCUGCAUCCGCAAGUGUGAAGUGUGAAUCCAUGUCCGAAGCUGUGAAGCAUAUCAGCAAAGAGUAGCAUAUUAUGUGUUGUAGUUGUAGGCAAUAGUAGGCAUAUCUGGGUUGUAAUAUUCUGUAACUAUUGUAAUAGAUUAAUGUAGUAUUGUUUUCGACCAAGUUCAUUUGCUCUCUCGUCUGUUCGAAACAAUGAUUGUGUACGUGAUUUGAAUACCCGUGAAAUGGAAACCUGACAAGUUGGGUCCAA